GGCACGCAGCCCUGAGGACUGAGGGUGUCAGCGCAGCCGGGCUGCCGGGCAGCCGUGAGGUUUUUGUACGCCCCGUAACGGGGCCCUUGGCAAUGUGAUAACUUUGAAUACUGGGGCCAGGGGACCCUGGUCACCGUCUCCUCAGAGCCCAAAACCAGCCCCACUGUCUUCCCGCUGGGCCUCUGCAGUGCUGACUCAGCCAAGUACGUGGUCAUCGCCUGCCUGGUGCAGGGAUUCUUCCCGCCGGGGCCCGUGCAGGUGACCUGGAGCCCCAGCAACGAGAACGCGACCAUCAGCAACUUCCCCCCCGUGAAGGCCGAGUCGGGGGCCUUGUACACCAUGAGCAGCCAGCUGACCCUGCCAGCCAACCAGUGCCCUGACAACUCGGUCCUGAAGUGCCAAGUGCAGCACUCUUCCAACACCCUCCCACCUGUGUCUGUGCCCUGCAAAGUUCCAGAUCCAUGUCCAGUUGUUCCCCCUUGUAAGUGUCCCUCGUGCGACCAGCCCCGCCUGGCACUACGCCAGCCCGCCCUCGAGGAUCUGCUUCUGGGCUCCAACGCCAGCCUCACGUGCACACUGAGUGGCCUGAAAGACCCCACGGGAGCCUCCUUCAACUGGGAUCCUUCAGGCGGGAAGAACGCCAUCCAGAGGAGCCCUGAGCGAGACUCGUGCGGCUGCUACAGCGUGACCAGUGUGCUGCCGGGCUGUGCGGAGCAGUGGAACCGUGGGGACACCUUCUCCUGCAUGGCCACCCACCCUGAGUCCAAGAGCUCAUUAACCGCCACCAUCAAGAAACUCACAGGAAACACCUUCCGGCCCCAGGUCCACCUGCUCCCGCCGCCGUCGGAGGAGCUGGCCCUCAACGAGCUGGUGUCCCUGACAUGCUUUGUGAGGGGUUUCAGCCCCGAGGACGUGCUGAUCCGCUGGCUGCAGGGCACCCAGGAGCUGCCCCCAGAGAAGUACGUGACCUGGAAGCCCCUGAAGGAGCCCGGCCAGAGCGUCCCCACCUUCUCCGUGACCAGCGUGCUGCGGGUAGACGCCGAGGCCUGGAAGCAGGGAGACAAGUUCUCCUGCAUGGUGGGCCACGAGGCCCUGUCCCUGUCCUUCACCCAGAAGACCAUCGACCGCCUGGCGGGUAAACCCACCCACGUCAACGUGUCUGUGGUCAUGGCAGAGGUGGACGGCGUCUGCUACUGAAACGCCCGCCCGCCCCUCCCUGAAUAAACUCCAUGUUUGCCCGGAGCA